UUGAUCAUCUUCCACAAAACCGUAUAUAUUCACAUUGCCUCUCAACCCACCUCUGCCUCUCUCUCUCUCUCUCUCUCUCUCUCUCUCAUUUUUUAAAUUUCCCUCAUAAACCCAAUUACAAUCAAAUCCCACUAAAACCCCUUUGCUCAAUCACCAAUUCUGAUAUCUUGUCACACAAAAAAGUUGUGCAACAUGAGAAGCACCAAAGCACAGAACAAAAACAAGUUCAUGAGAAUCAUCACAGUACCCAUCAGAGCUCUGAGUAAAGCGAAGGACUUUUAUGUGAGAAGCAUGACAGAUGUGGCUGAGAGAGUGAGCUAUGGCAACACCAUGGGAGGCCCAGGUGGCCAGUUCCCUUCCUCAAGCCUUCCCAAAAGCUUCAGCUCUAGGUCAACUUCUGGGUCGAGUGAAGCCAGUGGUGAUGAUUUUUCAGAGCUUAUCAGAGCUGCCUCUGCCAGAAGCUAUGGAACAAGGAUUGAUGUGGAUGCAAUAUUGAAAGAGCAGCAGCUGAAGCGAUCUGCUACAACCACCACCAUGGGAUCAAAAGCUGUGCUUCCCAAGUGUAGCAGCGUGGCCAUGGGAAGGAUUGAUGAAGACGGGCCUGCUGAUUUUGAUGAACAUACUGCUGGUGAUGUCAAGCCUGACUUGCUCUUCCUCACUCGUUAAGUCUCUUCCCGGAAUCCAUGGACCUCUUCCUUUCGAACUCGAAACUGGGUACGUGGGAGUGGGGGAAGCAGAGGAGGUGCAGCUCUUCUACUACUUCGUCAAGUUAGAGAGCAAGGCAGAAGAGGAUCCUCUAAUGCAUUGGCUAACUGGUGGACCUGGUUGUUCUCCGGUGACUGCCUUUCUGUACGUAAUAGGUCCACUGAAUUUUGAAAUAGAGCAGUACAAUGGGAGUUUACCUACCUUAUCUUAAAUCCAUACUCAUGGACAAAGCUAUCUAGCAUAAUUUUGCUUAGAUUCCCCGGUUGGAACUGGAUUUUCGUAUGCAAGAUCUUCAUUUGCUGGCCAGCCAGGUGAUUCGGAACAAGUGCAACAUGCCCUCCAAUUCUUCAGGAAGCUGAGCAAAUUUAGAAACAAUUUAUUUGGGGUCUUAAUGAGCUCAUCUAAUCGACAAUACGUCCGCAAAGCCCUUCGCAUACGCAAGGGAAGUAUAGGGAAAUGGCAGCGAUGCAACUACGAAAAACCUUAUGUCCAUGACAUUGAAACCAGUAUUCAGUAUCAUGCAAAGCUUAGUGCUAAAGGCCUUCCAUCUUUAAUAUAAAGGUGAGAAUUUAAACCCACCACACACGAGACGCGCGCAGAUAUACAUCAAGCAUGGAUAAAAUCUUUAAAUUAUUCCAUUAUUGAUGACUGGAGACCAUGGCUUGUGCAAGGUCAAAUUGCAGGUUAUACAAGAACGUAUUUGAAUCGGAUGACGUAUGAAGGCAAGAACAUUUGUUUCAGUUUUGGGGGGGCAGGGCACACAGCUCCUGAGUACAAGCGUGAAGAAGGCUUGACCAUGUAUAAAAGGUGGAUAUCUGAGGAACCUCUUUUAACCAUCUCCAACUUCACAGCUGUAUAUUUUUCUUUUCCAGUCAAUUACAAAUUUACAGUAAUGUUACCAUCAAAGAGAGCAAUAAGGUUGCUGAUCAAGGUUUUACAUUUGACAAAAUUUAUUCCAUCUUAA